rnacentral:rRNA from 1 species
GACGAACGCUGGCGGCGUGCCUAAUACAUGCAAGUCGAGCGGACAGAAGGGAGCUUGCUCCCGGAAGUUAGCGGCGGACGGGUGAGUAACACGUGGGCAACCUACCCUGUAGAUCGGGAUAACAUCGGGAAAUCGGUGCUAAUACCGGAUAAUCAUUUGAAGUGCAUGCUUCGAAUGUAAAAGAUGGCUCCGGCUAUCACUACGGGAUGGGCCCGCGGCGCAUUAGCUAGUUGGUAAGGUAAUGGCUUACCAAGGCAACGAUGCGUAGCCGACCAGAGAGGGUGAUCGGCCACACUGGGACUGCGAAACGGCCCAGACUCCUACGGGAGGCAGCAGUAGGGAAUCUUCCGCAAUGGACGAAAGUCUGACGGCGCAACGCAGCGUGAGUGAUGAAGGUUUUCGGAUCGUAAAGCUCUGUUGUUAGGAAAGAACAAGUGCCGUUUGAAUAAGGCGGCACCUUGACGGUACCUAACCAGAAAGCAACGGCUAACUACGUGCCAGCCGCCGCAGUAACAC